UAGGGAAUCUUCCGCAAUGGACGCAAGUCUGACGGAGCAACGCCGCGUGAGUGAAGAAGGAUUUCGGUUCGUAAAACUCUGUUGUUAGAGAAGAACAGCGCAUAGAGUAACUGUUAUGCGUGUGACGGUAUCUAACCAGAAAGCCACGGCUAACUACGUGCCAGCAGCCGCGGUAAUACGUAGGUGGCAAGCGUUGUCCGGAUUUAUUGGGCGUAAAGCGAGCGCAGGCGGUCAAUUAAGUCUGAUGUGAAAGCCCCCGGCUCAACCGGGGAGGGUCAUUGGAAACUGGUUGACUUGAGUGCAGAAGGGGAGAGUGGAAUUCCAGGUGUAGCGGUGAAAUGCGUAGAUAUAUGGAGGAACACCAGUGGGGAAGGCGACUCUCUGGUCUGUAACUGACGCUGAGGUUAGAAAGGGUGGGUAGCAAACAGG
rnacentral:rRNA from 1 species